GACGUAGGGCGCGAGCGUUGUCCGGAUUUAUUGGGCGUAAAGAGCUCGUAGGCGGUCUGUUGCGUCUGCUGUGAAAACUCGGGGCUUAACCCCGAGCCUGCAGUGGAUACGGGCAGACUAGAGGUAGGUAGGGGAGAAUGGAAUUCCCGGUGUAGCGGUGAAAUGCGCAGAUAUCGGGAGGAACACCGGUGGCGAAGGCGGUUCUCUGGGCCUUACCUGACGCUGAGGAGCAAAAGCGUGGGGAGCGAACAGG
rnacentral:rRNA from 1 species